CCCUGAAUAUCCGUUUGAGCUCAAAUUUGACAGUCAUAUUCGGUUUUACUUAACGAAUCCAAAGAAAUUUUAAUAUUUCAGUUUCGACCCCGUUUGGUCACCGAAAACUGUACCGAACUGUAAUCUUUAUCAGAUAGCUGUCGGAUUUUAUUGUCCACCUUCCGGGUGUCAGAAUGAUAUGAAACUUUAAAUCUGGUCUCAUAAAAAUAAUUCUGACUUAUCCUCCAGUUUUCAUAAUUUUCUGAAACUGUGCAUUUUCUGCUAAUUUAUCUGUCCCGUUUCCAGCAGAAAAUUCUAAAUCUUCUGUUUUCAUUCCGAUUUCAGCAUAAGUCACUUCUGACUUAUGUUUUACUCCUCUAAAUCCAAUAAAAAUAUUAUCUCACACUAUUUUUAUUUAUUUUUAUUUUUAUACCAAAAUCUGGUAUGUUAUAUGUAAAUACAUAAAUAGUAUACAUUUUGGACGAUGACCAUGUGAUGUAUAGAUGGAAGAAAUGAAUAGAUGUAAAUUCUAUUAAUGCAUGUAUGUGAUUAAAAGU
rnacentral:lncRNA from 1 species